rnacentral:lncRNA from 1 species
UUUUCCUUUUUUUUAAUCCAUACCCUAACCCAAGCCAAGCUACAACCCGAAAGACCUCAAAAGUGUGUGUUAGGUGUAAGUGAUGAGAAAAGAGAGACUAUUCAAACUUGUGAGUGAUAUUGCAUACUUUGAAUUAUGAGUGUAAACAGCUUACCCGAGAGAAUUGGUGAGAAUGUGAAAUAAGCUGACAGGUGAAACGAUGCUUUGAAGUGGAAGUGUGAAUGAUGACUUAUGAGGAUGGGCAGGACUUGUGGAAGGAAAAGGGAAGAUGUUCGCGAAUGAUCUCAGCAAUGGUGAAAAGCAUAAAGAAUUCUGGGGAGUGAUAAUGAAACAUUACUUAGGACAAACAAUGAGCUAAGUUUGGGGUUGUGAUCAGUCACCAUUUAUAGUAAGUUUUCAUUACUGAUCCGACGCAAAACAGAGACAUUUGAUACACUGUGCAAGCAUUUAAGGUACAAUUCGAGUAGUUUUACUUCCA